rnacentral:rRNA from 1 species
AACGAACGCUGGCGGCAUGCCUAACACAUGCAAGUCGAACGAGACCUUCGGGUCUAGUGGCGCACGGGUGCGUAACGCGUGGGAAUCUGCCCUUGGGCUCGGAAUAACAGUUGGAAACGACUGCUAAUACCGGAUGAUGACGUAAGUCCAAAGAUUUAUCGCCCAGGGAUGAGCCCGCGUAGGAUUAGCUAGUUGGUGGGGUAAAGGCCUACCAAGGCGACGAUCCUUAGCUGGUCUGAGAGGAUGAUCAGCCACACUGGGACUGAGACACGGCCCAGACUCCUACGGGAGGCAGCAGUGGGGAAUAUUGGACAAUGGGCGAGAGCCUGAUCCAGCAAUGCCGCGUGAGUGAUGAAGGCCUUAGGGUUGUAAAACUCUUUUACCCGGGAUGAUAAUGACAGUACCGGGAGAAUAAGCCCCGGCUAACUCCGUG